AACGAACGCUGGCGGCAUGCCUAACACAUGCAAGUCGAACGAGACCUUCGGGUCUAGUGGCGCACGGGUGCGUAACGCGUGGGAAUCUGCCCUUGGGUUCGGAAUAACAGUUAGAAAUGACUGCUAAUACCGGAUAAUGUCUUCGGACCAAAGAUUUAUCGCCCAGGGAUGAGCCCGCGUAGGAUUAGCUAGUUGGUGAGGUAAAGGCUCACCCAAGGCGACGAUCCUUAGCUGGUCUGAGAGGAUGAUCAGCCACACUGGGACUGAGACACGGCCCAGACUCCUACGGGAGGCAGCAGUGGGGAAUAUUGGACAAUGGGCGAAAGCCUGAUCCAGCAAUGCCGCGUGAGUGAUG
rnacentral:rRNA from 1 species